rnacentral:tRNA from 1 species
GGAGAGGUGCCAGAGUGGCCGAAUGGGGCUCCCUGCUAAGGAGUUGUACCUUCACAGGUACCAAGGGUUCGAAUCCCUUUCUCUCCGCAA